rnacentral:rRNA from 1 species
AACUAUUGGAAACGAUAGCUAAUACCGCAUAACAAUGGAUGACACAUGUCAUUUAUUUGAAAGGGGCAAUUGCUCCACUACAAGAUGGACCUGCGUUGUAUUAGCUAGUAGGUGAGGUAACGGCUCACCUAGGCGACGAUCCCUAGCUGGUCUGAGAGGAUGACCAGCCACACUGGAACUGAGACACGGUCCAGACUCCUACGGGAGGCAGCAGU